rnacentral:rRNA from 1 species
UACAGAGGGUGCAAGCGUUGUUCGGAAUUAUUGGGCGUAAAGGGGGUGUAGGCUGUUCUUUAAGUCUUCUGUGAAAUCUACGGGCUAAACCUGUAAAGUGCAGAAGAUACUGAGGAGCUUGAGUGUCGGAGAGGAUAGUGGAAUUCCCGGUGUAGAGGUGAAAUUCGUAGAGAUCGGGAGGAACACCAGUGGCGAAGGCGACUAUCUGGCUGACAACUGACGCUGAGACUCGAAAGCAUGGGGAGCAAACAGG